GAUGAACGCUGGCGGCGUGCCUAAUACAUGCAAGUCGAGCGAACGGACGAGAAGCUUGCUUUUCUGAUGUUAGCGGCGGACGGGUGAGUAACACGUGGAUAACCUACCUAUAAGACUGGGAUAACUUCGGGAAACCGGAGCUAAUACCGGAUAAUAUUUUGAACCGCAUGGUUCAAAAGUGAAAGACGGUCUUGCUGUCACUUAUAGAUGGAUCCGCGCUGCAUUAGCUAGUUGGUAAGGUAACGGGUUACCAAGGCAACGAUGCAUAGCCGAACUGAGAGGGUGAUCGGCCACACUGGAACGGAGACACGGUCCAGACGCCUACGGGAGGCAGCAGUAGGGAAUCUUCCGCAAUGGGCGAAAGCCUGACGGAGCAACGCCGCGUGAGUGAUGAAGGUCUUCGGAUCGUAAAACUCUGUUAUUAGGGAAGAACAUAUGUGUAAGUAACUGUGCACAUCUUGACGGUACCUAAUCAGAAAGCCACGGCUAACUACGUG
rnacentral:rRNA from 1 species